CCUACGGGAGGCUGCAGUGAGGAAUAUUGGUCAAUGGCCGCAGGCCUGAACCAGCCAAGUCGCGUGAGGGAUGACGGUCCUAUGGAUUGUAAACCUCUUUUGUCAGGGAGCAAAGGGCGCCACGUGUGGCGUUUUGCGAGUACGUGAAGAAAAAGCAUCGGCUAACUCCGUGCCAGCAGCCGCGGUAAUACGGAGGAUGCGAGCGUUAUCCGGAUGUGUUGGGGUAAACGGGUGCGCAGGCGGAAUGUCAAGUCAGCGGUAAAAUUUCGGGGCUCAACCCCGUCGUGCCGUUGAAACUGGCGUUCUUGAGUGAGCGAGAAGUAUGCGGAAUGCGUGGUGUAGCGGUGAAAUGCAUAGAUAUCACGCAGAACUCCGAUUGCGAAGGCAGCAUACCGGCGCUCAACUGACGCUCAUGCACGAAAGCGUGGGUAUCGAACAGGAUUAGAUACCCUGGUAGUC
rnacentral:rRNA from 1 species